CAUGAUGAUGAUUGGGAAGGCAUGCAUUUGAAUGGGACAAAGUAGAGGCAAUCAGCAACAUAGGUUAUCCAGGAAGGGAGUACACCACUGCUUCAACUUGCAUUUCCUCAGCACAGCCUGCAGAGUGCAGACGCUAACUUUUAGGUGGUGGGAGAUGGUGCAGCUGAGCCUCAGGUUGGGGCCAACCGUCAGCCGCAUCCACAUGGCCUCGUGCCAGCAGCUGUCCAUGUGCAGUUCUUAAUUUCACAAGAUCGAUUUGGGUAAACUCCUUCCUAGCUAAUAUAUAGUGUUACUUAUAAUUCAGAC